CAUGCCGUAAACGAUGUCUACUAGCCGUUGGGGUCUUUGAGACUUUAGUGGCGCAGCUAACGCGAUAAGUAGACCGCCUGGGGAGUACGGUCGCAAGACUAAAACUCAAAUGAAUUGACGGGGGCCCGCACAAGCGGUGGAGCAUGUGGUUUAAUUCGAUGCAACGCGAAGAACCUUACCUGGUCUUGACAUAGUAAGAACUUUCCAGAGAUGGAUUGGUGCCUUCGGGAGCUUACAUACAGGUGC
rnacentral:rRNA from 2 species